rnacentral:rRNA from 1 species
UACGUAGGGGGCAAGCGUUGUCCGGAUUUAUUGGGCGUAAAGAGCGUGUAGGCGGCCUUACAGGUCAGCUGUGAAAACUCGAGGCUCAACCUCGAGACGUCGGCGGAAACCAUCUGGCUAGAGUCCGGAAGAGGAGAGUGGAAUUCCUGGUGUAGCGGUGAAAUGCACAGAUAUCAGGAAGAACACCCGUGGCGAAGGCGGCUCUCUGGGACGGUACUGACGCUGAGACGCGAAAGCGUGGGGAGCGAACAGG